UACGUAGGGGGUCUAGCGUUGUCCGGAAUUAUUGGGCGUAAAGAGCUCGUAGGCGGCUUGUCACGUCGACUGUGAAAACUCGGGGGCUUAACCCCCGAGCCUGCUUCCGAUACGGGCAGACUAGAGGUAGGCAGGGGGAGAGCGGAACUCCUGGUGUAGCGGUGGAAUGCGCAGAUAUCAGGAAGAACACCGGUGGCGAAGGCGGCUCUCUGGGCCUUACCUGACGCUGAGGCUCGAAAGCGUGGGGAGCAACAGG
rnacentral:rRNA from 1 species